GACGGAGGGGGCAAGCGUUGUUCGGAUUUACUGGGCGUAAAGGGCGCGUAGGCGGUCGUGACAAGUCACUUGUGAAAUCUCCGGGCUUAACUCGGAACGGUCAAGUGAUACUGUCGGACUAGAGUACAGAAGGGGCAACUGGAAUUCUCGGUGUAGCGGUGAAAUGCGUAGAUAUCGAGAGGAACACCUGCGGCGAAGGCGGGUUGCUGGGCUGAUACUGACGCUGAGGCGCGAAAGCCAGGGGAGCGAACGGG
rnacentral:rRNA from 1 species